AAUCCAAUUGACUUAAAUUGUGCCAGGAUUUCACCUCUAAUCUUUUCCUUAGCACAAGAAGACCAGCACAGUAACUAAUAUAGAAAGGAAGGACUUCAUUCUUAGAGUUCCGCUGUCUUCCAAGAAACAUGUCACAGGACAAUGGUCUGCUACUAGGAAAAAAUGUCAGUGAGCCCAGUCAUGUAUCAUCUCUAAACACUGAGUCACAAGAAUUUCAAGGGACAAGGGCCAGAUUGCAGGUGUAAUUACUGUCCCAUGUUGUGAGCCCACUGUUCCACUGAACACACAAGGCAUUAUGAAUCCAGGCUGCACCAUUCUAUCAGGAUAAAGAAGUCCUCAGGAUCAGAGAUGAAAAAUACCAACACCAAGAUUUUCCAAAGUGAUGAGUGAUUUUAGGUGCUUCAGUCUUCUGAGCAUUCAUCUUCAGACCUCUGAGAUGUAACUAAUUUUCAGAACAUGCCAAACACCCAUCCGGUGACAACUAGGUUGCUUUAAAGCACCACAAGCUGGGCACCCCCACAAUAGAGGCACUGCUCUGCUUCUGACUAGGAGCAGAAGUGGUGAAAUGCUGUGGGAGAGCCCAAAGAGUUUCCAGCCCAUAUUUUUGUGCCCAAAAGAUUUGGCUGAACUUCAGUUCUGAGAUGAGUGUGAACCAAAACCAACAGCUUUGUGGCUAAAUUCAGGCUUCUGAUAUACAUCCACACACCUAUAACUUCAACUGCAUGUGCAUAUCUGAUUUGACCUCAGGACUCUAGAGAGAUUUGAAAUUCAAACCUAGAGAUGGAUCUGAAUUUCACAGAUGGCACCAAUUUUGAAUAUGAAAGGAAAUACUGUGUUCUGAUAAUUAAGAAUAAUCUAGGUGGACAUCCCUAUUUUUAAA